UUGCAGAGAUCUUUCUCUGUCCUUUAGAGUCUCGAGCACAGAAAAGGCCCAAGGCUACCUAGUCAGGGUUUUUUUUUUUUUUGCAACGCAACAGCAGUGAGAACGGCAACAGCACCGCGCACGCGCAGCUUGGCCCCGCCCCUCUGCUUCCUUCUCAACCUUGCAGCAUUGGGGAGGCCGUGAUGGCGGGGCAAUCUGACCAAUCAAGAGAGGUAUUCGAGAAGCGCGCGCAAGAGCUCGCAAACCCCGAGGGCCAUGGAAGCGCUGUGGUUAUUUGUGCGCCUGUGCAGCAGUUCGGCGUGUGGCAGGCUGGGGGCAAAAAUUGUAAGGGUGAAGCCGCUGGUUGAAGCGAGAGGUCUGAGGGUGGGGCUCCACCGCUGCGCUCCGCCUCUUUUGCUGGGAGGCGGGGCCCCUCUCUUUCUUAGAGGUGUUAAACUCACAAAACAGGAUCGUGGAAAUUCCCACUGUUCAGGGGCUAACGUUUCCGGCGGCUAUAGCCGCUGCCGCUGGUAACUAGGGUACGGACGCACGACAAAAUGGCUGACAGCCAUUUUACAGCAACACAGAAAGUGCGCAUGCGCCAGGUCCAGCGAGCUAUUUACUACGCAGAGCCUUAUCAAAUGCUACUACAAGCUCGGUUUGGACGGUACCAUUCACAACUAGGGGACCAUUUGGUUUAUAGGAGAGGGAAAAAAUUGGGACGAAAAAUUAUCACGUAAAAUUUUCGAGGCGAGGAAAAAUUGGCAAAAAGUGACCUCACUUUCGCAAGUUGCAACAGAAUCUCACAAAUGUGUAACAGUUUAGAAGAGGCAUGGAUAUCGCUUACGUUGAUUAGCACAGCCCCAGGAUAGUCAUUCCAUCACAUCUGCCUAUGGGCAGAUUUGGAGGUUUCUGCAUUCCCACUGAAAACAUAGAAAAAUUUUUUAAAUUUAUUAGUAGUACGUUUGCACUAUAUAAUGAUUACUUCACCGUGGAUGGCUGGUACAUUGUCCCGCCGUGUAGUUCGGGCUACUCGAACUUGCUAUGUAGUCCAGGCUGGCCUCAAACUUGCAGCAAUCCUCUAGCUUCAGCCUCCCUCCUAAAUGCUGGGAUUACAGAGGGGCUCCAGUCUUCUUCACCUUGGACAUCAUCUUCUAGCUUCCAGUGCAAACUCUUGAGCUUCUGGCCCAGAUCCCUCAGCUUUCUGGCACAGACUCUUCAGUCUUCCAUCAGAGACCCAUCGGCCUUGAGUGGGAUACUGCUGUGAGCUCCAGAGCUUCGAUUAGAUCCUUCCAUCUCUGGUGUGCAGACAGACCCUCUGCACCCUACCUCAUCUGGCUCUGUGGGCAGCCAUUGCAUAUACUUGUGUAUUUUGUUGUAUCUAUUUCCCUAGUAAAUAGUGACUGAUACA